GAAAGAAAGAGGGAGAGAGAGAGAGAGAGAGAAAGAAAGAGGGAGGGAGAGAGAGAGAGAGAGAAAGAAAGAGGGAGGGAGAGAGAGAGAGAGAAAGAAAGAGGGAGGGAGAGAGAGAGAGAGAGAGAGAGUAAGCAAGCAGCAGACGCGGGUGGGUACGCUCACCCCGGCGCGGACGUCCCUUCGCUAUGCGGCAACGUGUGCGUUGUACACGAUUCUACGUGAAAAAUGUGUACCUGAGAGAGGAGUCCUUCGAGAGGAAUAUCGACUCCCCUGCAACGCGAUGUGUUGCGGUUGUCAUGUCGGCGGAAAGCUCUGCGUCCAGGGAAAUCCUGCUUCGUUUACGCGCCAAAUCAAAAGAGAAAAAGAGAGAAAUUUAAUGUGGGAGAUACAAAAGGGGGAAGGAAAAGAUGAAAGUAGAGGGAGAGAACAAGAAAAGGAGGAGAGACAGAUAGGAGGGUUCUCCUUUCGUAGGGCAAGAUCGAUUAUCCCACGGCCCUGUGGUCGUCGCUCGAAGAACUUUGGUCGCGCCUUCUCUUACGAGAAAGUCGCGUUAUCGAUCGUGGAACGACCUCGCUCACUUAUACUCCCUCUCGAGGUCAGGAGAGAUUUUUUUGCCCUCUCUUCUACCUUCCCUCCGAAAUCCCUUCGUGGUCGUUGACUUUUCGUUUCGAUGUUACACGAAGCGAAAUCGAUUUUCCCUGCAGUUAUUUCGAAGCGACCUAAUGUCUACACAACUAAAAUGAAUUUCUCAUCGCGUUGCUAAACUUUUGCGUAUUCUCUCGUGUAUAUAUAUAUAUAUAUAUAUAUAUAUAUAUAUAUAUAUAUCGUUUUCGCCAUUGUAUCAGUAAAAAUUAAAGGCCGCCGAUUGGUCGAUCCAGUGUCGCGAAGCACUGCAGUUGGAAGAUGCGACGCAUAUUUGUGAUCGGCUUGAGAUUCCUCACUGAAUGGCGUAGAAUCCGGUGGAACCGAAUAUUUUUCUUCUCUUCCACUUUAUUUCUUGCGCUUUUCUUCUCUCACUCGAGAUACUUUUGAUGGCCAACCUGUUCUUUUUUCUUAAUAUUUUUUAAUUAAUUUUUUUCUUUUUAUUUUUUUCUAUAUGUGCAUCUCGACAACACGAUUGUCUCAUCUCCUUAGACAUGUUUGAUUCCUGUGAUUGGUCGAAUAUAACAGAGGUCCUCAAACUUCUUCAUCGGUUUGUUGGUCGUUUCGACGAGUGUAGAAUCUUAUCGAUCGGCUACCUCGUUUAGUUUCCUUCAUCCUCUUACUGGCGAUUCUUAAAUUUUGGGAUUCAAAAAAUUUCAAUCUUAAAACUGAUGAAAGAUACAUGCCAUGUUAACAAUUGCGAUUAUAAGUAUAUUUGAGAAAACCCUAGCGAACCACACUUUGAGAACCGUCGCGUUUACGACCGUUUCGAAAAUGUUAAUAGGUCGUUGACGUAACCAGAAGCAGACCUUUCUCGUGCCUUGUUCCUCGAUGCCAGACUCCAACAUUUCAUUUAUCAGAUGUACUUUUAAUAUCGGACAAAGGCUAAGGAACAAUAUGGCUCGUUAAAUAUUUUGAUACUUCGAAGAUACAAUGCGAUGACGCAUACAAAUGAGUCGUCUACUCUAAUACGAUAAAUCUUGAUAUGGCAAGCGAACUCAGUGCAAUCCGAUAGAAAGGAAAACUUAUUGAAAUGAAAAGUUUUCAUCUGGAGAGAUUUAGUUUAAUUCUUAAGUCCGUAUCCUCCUCUUACCUGAGAAUCGUAUAUCAUAAACCACGAUAGAAGCUCAAACCAGGUAAGAAAGCAAAAAGUUUUUGCUUUUAAAUGAUGUCUUUCCUCGUGUUUCUCACUCUUCGUUUCUCUCUCAUUCACUACGAAUCCAUGGACAAGGUCAAGAGUUGCAGAUUUCCAUUCCUUGACAUCCUUUAUAAUCUUCUACGAGUCACCAUAGUUGGCCUGUCUCUUUAUCUUCUCUACCUCUUUUUCUUGUAACUAUAAUUCAUUCCCUUCAAAUUCAAAUUAAGAAUAACCUAACCAUCGGAGAUUACCGUGGUGAAGACAAUUUUACAAUUGAAUCUUCCUAAACGAUGAUUUCCUAUAUAUUCAUCGACUCUAUGCUAUAUGUAUGCAAGUAGUACGUUUAUAUAUCAAUCUAAAGAUAACGCAAUGGUACGCAGAUUGAUCGUU